rnacentral:rRNA from 1 species
AGGUGCUAAUACCGCAUAACCAUAGUUACCGCAUGGUAACUAUGUAAAAGGUGGCUAUGCUACCGCUUUUGGAUGGGCCCGCGGCGCAUUAGCUAGUUGGUGGGGUAAAGGCUUACCAAGGCAAUGAUGCGUAGCCGAACUGAGAGGUUGAUCGGCCACAUUGGGACUGAGACACGGCCCAAACUCCUACGGGAGGCAGCAGUAGGGAAUCUUCCACAAUGGGCGAAAGCCUGAUGGAGCAACGCCGCGUGGGUGAAGAAGGUCUUCGGAUCGUAAAACCCUGUUGUUAGAGAAGAAAGUGCGUGAGAGUAACUGUUCACGUUUCGACGGUAUCUAACCAGAAAGCCACGGCUAACUACGUGCCAGCAGCCGCGGUAAUACGUAGGUGGCAAGCGUUAUCCGGAUUUAUUGGGCGUAAAGGGAACGCAGGCGGUCUUUUAAGUCUGAUGUGAAAGCCUUCGGCUUAACCGGAGUAGUGCAUUGGAAACUGGGAGACUUGAGUGCAGAAGAGGAGAGUGGAACUCCAUGUGUAGCGGUGAAAUGCGUAGAUAUAUGGAAGAACACCGGUGGCGAAAGCGGCUCUCUGGUCUGUAACUGACGCUGAGGUUCGAAAGCGUGGGUAGCAAACAGGAUUAGAUACCCUGGUAGUCC